CACCUGUGCACCCAUAAAAGCCCACUCCUACACCUUCCCCUCUCCUUUCUUUGCUCUCUGCUUCCUUAUGCUCCUUUGGGUGGAGAGCAGAUGGCUGCAUUUUUAGGGCUAAUACAAACCUUCAUAUUUUUAAACUUUUGAUCCUGAAAUUUAGAUUGGUGGUUUGGGCAUUUUUUUUAAAGUAGAUGUAUUUUUAGUCUCAAAGUUUGGACUAAAGAGAAGAAGACUGGAAAUGUGUCCUGAGCUGAAUAUUUGAAGGAGGAAUUCAGCACAUCAGCAAACACAGAGAGGGGAUAUGGCAUUCAAGAGACUCCAGGAGCCUUUUACCACCUCAGGGGCCUGGCCUAGGUCUUGUUGGAAUAAAUCAGCCUGAGGGGAGAUAGCAUUUAAAAAACCCCAGGAGCUGGUGUUGCUUCUGCAAGGAAUGACUGCCCUAUCAUACUCAAACAGCACAAGUGAAAUGGAAAAUAAACAGAGAAGGAUCCUCCUUUGCCCCAAGACAUGUUGCAGACAACCCAUCUUUGCCUCCUGAAAAGUCCUGCAGGCAAACAAGAGGUCCCAUCUGUGAUGCUGGCUACCCUGGAGGUGCCACUGAAAACUCGGGAAGCAGAAGAGUUCUUGCCUCCCUGAUGGACGCAUAAAAAACCAGUUGCACCUGGGAAAGUGAAGAGAUUUGACACCAAGACCUCUUCUCCCAAUGGCCACAAUCCCUUUCCAAAGGGCCUGUCUGGGCAGUUUGUCCACACACAGGAGGACCUGACUCCUCCCUGGGAGGAGUGAGGGUGUGUUUGGGAAUUUGAAGGCAGUGUUCUUCAUGUCAUUCCUCCAAUGUCUUCACUCUCUGUGCCACAGGGGAGAGGGGAGCCUCACUUCAGCCCAUGAGCUGGACACCUGCUUGUCCAAAGGUGACACCAAGACACUGAAGAAGAGAGAACCUAUCCACAGGUGGUGUGGUCAGGACUGGCAAGGUCAUCAAGGCACCACUGAGGUAGCUGAAACUUAGAGAAGCAUGCCAGGAUUCAAGUGCAUCUAAUUUAAGAGUCUUACAGGUUCCCUGUGCCAGAGAUCAUCUCUUUCCUCCUAAAUCAGAAGUUGAUGGUUUCAUGUCUGAGUCCAGGAACACAGUGAUUCUUGGAGUUCUCUUUGCUUGGCCUCCUUAACCUGAUGGAAUCAACAGGCUGGUUCUUCUCCUAGGCCCAAAGCUUUUCCAAAGAAGCAGAGACCUUCCCACUGGCUCCAUGGCCCAGCUGUCCCCUGUGGCAGUCAGUACAGUAUACUAAAUCACCGAGGUCUGCCCAGGAGAAAUUGCUGCUGCUCCAUUAUCCUGCUGUCAGCAUCCACCACACUUGUGAGAAUUAAGUUCCACAUCAGAAAAUAAUAAAUGCAAUAUUAUGAGCAGAGGGGAGAGGAGAUUAAAAAACUUGUGUAAAGAGCCUUCUGGUCCCCAUGCUGUUUAUUGCACUUUGUGACUUUGUUUUGUUUUUGAUGUCACUGAAGUUGGACUUCUAAUUUUCCUCUGAUAAUCAAAUGACUGGUUUGUAAUUUCCCUAUAGCUCCAAGAA